rnacentral:rRNA from 1 species
UACGGGAGGCAGCAGUGGGGAAUAUUGCACAAUGGGCGAAAGCCUGAUGCAGCGACGCCGCGUGAGGGAUGAAGGCCUUCGGGUUGUAAACCUCUUUCAGCAGGGACGAAGCGCAAGUGACGGUACCUGCAGAAGAAGCACCGGCUAACUACGUGCCAGCAGCCGCGGUAAUACGUAGGGUGCGAGCGUUGUCCGGAAUUACUGGGCGUAAAGAGUUCGUAGGCGGUUUGUCGCGUCGUUUGUGAAAACCCGGGGCUCAACUUCGGGCUUGCAGGCGAUACGGGCAGACUUGAGUGUUUCAGGGGAGACUGGAAUUCCUGGUGUAGCGGUGAAAUGCGCAGAUAUCAGGAGGAACACCGGUGGCGAAGGCGGGUCUCUGGGAAACAACUGACGCUGAGGAACGAAAGCGUGGGUAGCAAACAGGAUUAGAUACCCUGGUAGUCCACGCCGUAAACGGUGGGCGCUAGGUGUGGGUUCCUUCCACGGAAUCUGUGCCGUAGCUAACGCAU